AACGGUCUAUACCUGCGGUACCUGCGGAAGGAUCAUUACCGAGUUAUCAACUCCCAAACCCCUGUGAACAUACCCGAACGUUGCCUCGGCGGGACCGCCCCGGCGCCCCUAGCGGCCCGGAACCAGGCGCCCGCCGGAGGACCCAAACUCUUGCUUUAAACAGUGGCAUACUCUCUGAGUCUCACAAACGAAAAAUAAAUCAAAACUUUCAGCAAUGGAUCUCUAGAUCGGAAGAGCACA
rnacentral:misc_RNA from 1 species